rnacentral:rRNA from 1 species
UUCGUAGGCGGCGCGGAAAGUAGGGUGUGAAAGCCCUCGGCUCAACCGAGGAAUUGCGCCCUAAACUGUCGCGCUCGAGGAAGCUAGAGGUGAGCGGAACUGAUGGUGGAGCGGUGAAAUGCGUUGAUAUCAUCAGGAACACCGGAGGCGAAGGCGGCUCACUGGGGCUUAUCUGACGCUGAGGAACGAAAGCCAGGGAGCAAACG